rnacentral:lncRNA from 1 species
AAAGAAAAGCCUGGUUUGGUUACUUUAUUGUUAUGGUUAAAUGUGGAUUUUGGCAGCAGACAAACUUGAGUUUGAAUCCCACUUUCUACUUCCUCAUCUUUCAGAAUUAAAUGAAGUGAUGCACGUAAAAUGCUUAGUGUAGUUUCUGUCAUACGGCGAAUAAGGGUUUAUGUGCCCAGUAAGGGUUAUCUGCUAUUAUUAUUGUUCUGGUGAUGAUGAUGAUGAUGAUGAUCAUGAUCAUGAUGAUGCAGGGGAUCUGCUUAUUUGUUUUUGCCCAUUUGGUGAUCAGAACAUUGUUUAUUAUAGUCAGAUUUGGCUUUCCAAGUCCAAACAUAUGUCUUUAAUUAAAUAGCAUUUUAAUGUAAGAUCUAAAUAGAUUGACAAAAGCAUUUCGGGAGAAUUUCUGAAUUCAUGUUCUAGAAUGAGAAUUAGAUACAGUUCAUUCUACCUUAACCUCAGCAUAAAUAUAUGCAGCCAGUUAAAAAUGACCUAGAAAGUGUUCUGAGGAAAACAUCUACUGGUUCCUCACUAAGGAACAGAUGAACAUCCUUAUCAGAGAAGUUACGGGGAUAUGUUUGUUUUGGCUUGGCAUGUAUUUCUCUUACUCCAUUCUAGAGAGUCCCAUCUGUGCCAUCUGAUGCUCUUGUUUUACAGUAUUUGAGCUGAGAUCCUACCUUCCUGUAUAACAAGAACCUUAACAUCACAGUCAGCUCUUGAUUAUCUGAGCCAGACAGACUGGUUUGAAGAGCAAGAUAUAGCAGUGACCUGGAUUCUGGAUGGUUUAGAGAAUCACCAGGAAGUCAGGAACAAAGAGUUCCUGGGCAGCUGGCACCACAGUGCAGAUCAUGACAUGGAACACAGAGGAAUGGCUGCUGCCAUCUUUGACCAUGGGAUGCCACAUCUCGAAACACCAACUCUGCUGGUCCCCAGAGCCCAGAUACAGCUACUUGUGCUUCUAUCACCGUGUCCCUGGAAACAGAUGUUGCUGCUAUUACUGGAACUGCCAUAAAAGAUUCUCUGCUGCCUGGCUUUUUUGCUCCCCAAUCUGAGCUUAUGAUAAAUGCCUCACUGUUGCUGCAAGGAGGGGGCCAAUACCCAGGACAACAGGACAGCCAAAAACAAACAAACAAACAAAUGAACAAACAGAAAAGUUCCAGACUCUGGUGAAACACAUGUUUCAGGCCCCUCAGCAAGAGUGGACAAGACAAACAUCUUUACAAGGGACAAUGGAAUGAGGUGUAUGCAAGGAUCUGCAUCCAGCUCCCGAGUCUGAUGAGUUCUGGCAGUGGCUCCAGGGAAAGGAGGAGUCCAGGAACAGAGCUGGUGGGGGAGGCGCUCCCAGGAGUGGCCUUCCCAACAGCAGGUGCUGCACUCCUGCUGCCACUGAGGAGUCACACGUUCCCUCUUCUGAAGGACUCUCCCCUAUUUCUGGUGAGCAUUCCCCUUCCCCAGGCCAGACAGGCAGCUGAGCAACAAGGGCUAAGAGAGAGUUCAGACUCUCGGGUUCGAAGCCUGACUCUCUCUCUCACUGGAAAACCUUCCUCAGUUUCAGUCAAGUGGAAUUAAUAAUAGUGCCCUUCUAACAGGCUUGUGAUGAGGAUGAAAUGAAUUAAUCCACAUAUAUCUCAGAGAAGAGUGCUCAUCUCAGAAGGUGCACUUAAGCAAUGUUGUGAGUAGGUGUCCUCUUCGUGCAGAGAGCUCUCAUCCUGGGGUGCUGGUUGGGACCAUAGCAGGUCCCCCUGAGCUGAGAGGCCAGCUUCCUUGUCUGAGCAACUGUCAGCCUUACCCUGCUUGGCUGGGCCCCGCCCUGGAUCCCAUCCUCUUCCUCAUUUUCAUUCUGCCAACAUUUUGGCAGCAGCUCAUUGUUGAGAUUCUAUGAGAUUCUUUUUUAUCCACAUGGAUUAUAUAUAAUCUUCAAAGAAAAUGACACCAAUUUUCUCUCCAAGUGUGAUAGACUAGAUCAGCUCCCAUUGGGGUAAGGAGGUCUCAGUUCUGGUCCUAGCAUUACUAUUUGUUAGCUGUGUGAUUUUGAGGAUAGCAUCAAAAUUCUCUGGGCCGUGGUUUUCUUGCUAAACAAGGAAGGAGUUGGAUUUAAUUUUUUUUUUUUUUUGAGAUGGAGUCUCACUUUGUCGCCCAGGCUGGAGUGCACUGGCACGAUCUCGGCUCACUGCAACCUCUGCCUCCAGGGUUCAAGUGAUUCUCCUGCCUCAGCCUCCCGAGUAAGUAGGACUACAGGCAUGCGUCACUGCACCUGGCUAAUUUUUUGUAUUUUUAGUAGAGACAGGGUUUCACCAUAUUGGCCAGGCUGGUCUAGAACUCCUGACUUCAUGAUCCACCCACCUUGGCCUCCCAAAGUGCUGGGAUUACAGGCAUGAGCCAUUGCACUUGACUGAAUUUAAUUUUUGAAAAGUGCCCUGAGCCACCACUCCAUGCCAGAUAAUGUAGGGGGUGGGGUGGGGGGGGGGGGGCGGGGCACCAGGGGAGGUAAAAACAAAGGUUCCAAGCCCCCCCUCAAAGAGCUCCACUCUGGGGCAGAGGAACACCAUGGUGAAAGGACACAUCAUCCACUAGCUAUGUUUGACUCUGACACUCUGGAAUUAUCCCUAUUGUCACCCUUGACUCCCACCAAUGCUGUCAUGCUUAACAGUGAACAAAUAUGUCUGUUGCUAGUCUUUGCUCUUUCACCAGGUAUCUGUUCUGUCUAAAGAAAAAUUUCAUUAGACAAUCCGAGUUCUGAACCAUUGGUUUAGCAUAAAAUGUGUCCCCCUAAAAAGGUCCUCUUACUGGUCAAAGUCCAAGGUUAUGAUAAUGGCUUACAAAGUUCAGAGUCAGAUGUUAGAUGUGGCCCUGAGUUUCUCGGGGUUGGUAAUAGAAGAGACAUUCUCCCAGCUCACCUAUACCCUUUUCCAGGAGGCCUCUCCCUGAUAUUUCAAAUCAGCAGGCCUGGAGGCUUCUGUCUCAGUAAUUCAACAACUAUAGCAGCUGGUUCUUUUCCCUUAAGAUUUAAUACUUGUCAUUUAUCUAUGUCAAAACUGUAAAGGAGCAAGUUUCCAAAGACAGAUUUAUUAUGUGUGCUGAGUGUCUCAGGUGCAGCAGUGCAUAUAGAUGGGCUGAAUUCCAUAUUUUCCCUGAGUUUUUGUUCUAUAAAAAUAGCCACUUUUACUUUGCAUUCAGACAAGCAAGAAAUAUA